GAUGAACGCUGGCGGCGUGCCUAAUACAUGCAAGUCGAGCGAACAGACGAGGAGCUUGCUCCUCUGACGUUAGCGGCGGACGGGUGAGUAACACGUGGAUAACCUACCUAUAAGACUGGGAUAACUUCGGGAAACCGGAGCUAAUACCGGAUAAUAUAUUGAACCGCAUGGUUCAAUAGUGAAAGACGGUUUUGCUGUUACUUAUAGAUGGAUUCGCGCCGCAUUAGCUAGUUGGUAAGGUAACGGCUUAUCAAGGCAACGAUGCGUAGCCGACCUGAGAGGGUGAUCGGCCACACUGGAACUGAGACACGGUCCAGACUCCUACGGGAGGCAGCAGUAGGGAAUCUUCCGCAAUGGGCGAAAGCCUGACGGAGCAACGCCGCGUGAGUGAUGAAGGUCUUCGGAUCGUAAAACUCUGUUAUUAGGGAAGAACAAAUGUGUAAGUAACUAUGCACGUCUUGACGGUACCUAAUCAGAAAGCCACGGCUAACUACGUG
rnacentral:rRNA from 1 species